rnacentral:misc_RNA from 1 species
GAAAUGCGAUAAGUAAUGUGAAUUGCAGAAUUCCGUGAAUCAUCGAAUCUUUGAACGCACAUUGCGCCCUCUGGUAUUCCGGGGGGCAUGCCUGUCCGAGCGUCAUUGCUGCCCUCAAGCACGGCUUGUGUGUUGGGCUUCCGUCCCUGGCAACGGGGACGGGCCCAAAAGGCAGUGGCGGCACCAUGUCUGGUCCUCGAGCGUAUGGGGCUUUGUCACCCGCUCCCGUAGGUCCAGCUGGCAGCUAGCCUCGCAACCAAUCUUUUUAACCAGGUUGACCUCGGAUCAGGUAGGGAUACCCGCUGAACUUAAGC